CCUACGGGAGGCAGCAGUGGGGGAUAUUGCACAAUGGGGGGAACCCUGAUGCAGCGACGCCGCGUGGGUGAAGGAGUGCUUCGGCAUGUAAAGCCCUAUCGGCAGGGAAGAAGCAAGACGGUACCUGACUAAGAAGCCCCGGCUAACUACGUGCCAGCAGCCGCGGUAAUACGUAGGGGGCGAGCGUUAUCCGGAUUCACUGGGUGUAAAGGGAGCGUAGACGGCCAUGCAAGCCAGGGGGGAAAGCCCGGGGCCCAACCCCGGGACUGCCCUUGGAACUGUGGGGCUAGAGUGCGGGAGGGGCAGGCGGAAUUCCUGGUGUAGCGGUGAAAUGCGGAGAUAUCAGGAGGAACACCGGCGGCGAAGGCGGCCUGCUGGACUGCGACUGACGUUGAGGCUCGAAAGCGUGGGGAGCGAACAGGAUUAGAUACCCCAGUAGUC
rnacentral:rRNA from 1 species